rnacentral:lncRNA from 1 species
CGAGAGCGACGUACCCCGAGGCGGCGAACCAGGAAGGGAUGCCGUCUCUGACAAACGUCUCGUUCCGCAGCCUCUCCUCCACCAAGGCCUUGGACGUCUCUCCAUCUGCAAGUUGAAGAUCAGAUCAACUCCCAGGGAGGUAGAUUUUUCUUUAUUUUUUGGUUAUUUUCCUUUUUCAGUAUUCUGAUUGCUAGAUCGCAGAUUCGCCGGGAUUUCAUGAUAUGCAUCAUCGAUCACAGCAUACUUUUGUGUUCUGGAACUUGAGAGAAUUUUACCCUGGGAGGCGCCCACGAGGGGAAGGCCGGGCUCCUUGGUUUGAACGUUGAAGAUCUCCCUCACGGUGAUCGUUACUAUCUUUAUCAGAUUGUACAACCCAUCUCCAAGUAUGAGGGAUAUGGCAAUGAAGACCUGCAGAUGAUCAGAGAUUCAGUGCCUGCGUAAGAGAUUUAUGAACGGAGUUUUGUUGGGCGCUGCAAAUUCCCACAGGAUGAGCAGCAUGAAGCGGGC